rnacentral:rRNA from 1 species
CAAUAGCGUAUAUUAAAGUUGUUGCAGUUAGAACGCUCGUAGUCGGAUUUCGGGGCGGGCCGACCGGUCUGCCGAUGGGUACGCACUGGUCGGCGCGUCCUUCCUUCCGGAGACCGUGCCUACUCUUAACUGAGCGGGCGCGGGAGACGGAACUUUUACUUUGAAAAAAUCAGAGUGUUUCAAGCAGGCAUUGCGCUCUUGCAUGGAUUAGCAUGGGAUAAUGAAAUAGGACUUUGGUGCUAUUUUGUUGGUUUCGAACACCGAAGUAAUGAUUAAUAGGGACAGUCAGGGGCACUCGUAUUCCGCCGAGAGAGGUGAAAUUCUCAGACCAGCGGAAGACGAACCACUGCGAANGNAUUUGCNAGGGAUGUUUNCACUG